rnacentral:rRNA from 2 species
UCCUGGCUCAGGAUGAACGCUGGCGGCGUGCCUAACACAUGCAAGUCGAACGGAGUUAAUAAAGUAGAUUACUACAUUAUUAACUUAGUGGCGGACGGGUGAGUAACGCGUGGAUAACCUACCUUACACAGGGGGAUAACACCGAGAAAUCGGUGCUAAUACCGCAUAAGUAAUUAUGUCGCAUGGCAUAGUUAUAAAAGCUGAGGCGGUGUAAGAUGGGUCCGCGUCUGAUUAGCUAGUUGGUGAGAUAAAAGCUCACCAAGGCAACGAUCAGUAGCCGGCUUGAGAGAGUGAACGGCCACACUGGGACUGAGACACGGCCCAGACUCCUACGGGAGGCAGCAGUGGGGAAUAUUGCACAAUGGGGGAAACCCUGAUGCAGCGACGCCGCGUGAAGGAAGAAGGUCUUCGGAUCGUAAACUUCUAUCAGCAGGGAAGAAGGAAGUGACGGUACCUGACUAAGAAGCCCCGGCUAACUACGUGCCAGCAGCCGCGGUAAUACGUAGGGGGCAAGCGUUAUCCGGAAUCACUGGGUGUAAAGGGUGCGUAGGCGGUAGGGCAAGUCAGAUGUGAAAGCCCGGGGCUCAACUCCGGGAUUGCAUUUGAAACUGUCUUACUAGAGUGCAGGAGAGGGAAGCGGAAUUCCUAGUGUAGCGGUGAAAUGCGUAGAUAUUAGGAAGAACACCAGUGGCGAAGGCGGCUUUCUGGACUGUAACUGACGCUGAGGCACGAAAGCGUGGGGGAGCGAACAGGAUUAGAUACCCUGGUAGUCCACGCCGUAACGAUGAGUGCUAGGUGUUGGGCCCAUAUGGGUUCAGUGCUGAAGUUAACGCAUUAAGCACUCCACCUGGGGGAGUACG